UAACUUCCCCGCAGGCAUCGAGCCCCAGAGCAAUAUUCCAGGACCCCACCCCCUGGCUACCUGAGUGAAGAUGGAGAAACCAGUGACCACCAGAUGAACCACAGCAUGGACGCAGUUCUCCAAACCUAUCCCCGAAUCCGAUGUCCCCAGCACAUAAUAACUUGGCCUGCAGCCAGUUACCUACUGCGAGCCGGCCUUCUGGUGCUCCAUCUCCUACUACGAGCUGAACCAGCGC
rnacentral:lncRNA from 1 species